GUGCCAGCAGCCGCGGUAAUACGAAGGGGGCUAGCGUUGUUCGGAAUUACUGGGCGUAAAGCGCACGUAGGCGGACUUUUAAGUCUGGGGUGAAAGCCCGGAGCUCAACUCCGGAACUGCCUUGGAUACUGGGAGUCUUGAGGAUGGAAGAGGUAAGUGGAAUACCGAGUGUAGAGGUGAAAUUCGUAGAUAUUCGGUGGAACACCAGUGGCGAAGGCGACUUACUGGUCCAUUUCUGACGCUGAGGUGCGAAAGUGUGGGGAGCAAACAGGAUUAGAUACCCUGGUAGUCCACACCGUAAACGAUGAGAGCUAGUUGUUAGCAGGUUUACCUGUCGGUGACGCAGCUAACGCAUUAAGCUCUCCGCCUGGGGAGUACGGCCGCAAGGUUAAAACUCAAAGAAAUUGACGGGGGCCCGCACAAGCGGUGGAGCAUGUGGUUUAAUUCGAAGCAACGCGCAGAACCUUACCCACGUUUGACAUGCCUGGAUGUGAUCAGAGAUGUGAUCGUUCCUUCGGGACCAGUGCACAGGUGCUGCAUGGUUGUCGUCAGCUCGUGUCGUGAGAUGUUGGGUUAAGUCCCGCAACGAGCGCAACCCUCACCCUUAGUUGCUAACAGGUUUGGCUGAGAACUCUAAGGGAACUGCCCGUGGCAAGCGGGAGGAAGGUGGGGAUGACGUCAAGUCCUCAUGGCCCUUACGCGUGGGGCUACACACGUGCUACAAUGGCAGUGACAAUGGGAUAAUCCCAAAAAGCUGUCUCAGUUCAGAUUGGGGUCUGCAACUCGACCCCAUGAAGUGGAAUCGCUAGUA
rnacentral:rRNA from 1 species